UUGGAGGGCAAGUCUGGUGCCAGCAGCCGCGGUAAUUCCAGCUCCAAUAGCGUAUAUUAAAGUUGUUGCAGUUAAAAAGCUCGUAGUUGAAUUUCGGGAUUCAUCCGUUGGUCGGGCUUCACGGUCCGCACUGGUGUGAUGGGUUCCUACCUUCUGAAUAACCGGCAUGCCAUUAAUUUGGUGCGCCGGGGAAGCAGAACUAUUACCUUGAAAAAAUUAGAGUGCUUAAAGCAGGCAAGUGCCUGAAUAGGUUAGCAUGGAAUAAUAAAAUAGGACGGCAUGGUUCUAUUUUGUUGGUUUCUAGGAUCACCGUAAUGAUUAAUAGGGAUAGUUGGGGGCAUUAGUAUUCAAUUGUCAGAGGUGAAAUUCUUGGAUUUAUUGAAGACUAACUUCUGCGAAAGCAUUUGCCAAGGAUGUUUUCAUUAAUCAAGAACGAAAGUUAGGGGAUCGAAGACGAUCAGAUACCGUCGUAGUCUUAACCAUAAACUAUGCCGGCUAGGGAUCGGACGAUGUUAAUUUUUUAAUGACUCGUUCGGCGCCUUACGGGAAAC
rnacentral:rRNA from 1 species